AGUUACACUUUGUUUCUUAGUAGUAAUUUGAACAGAAAUACAAAAGUGCUGCACACCUUUCACUGGAGGGUGAGUGCAGGCAGCUCCACUGCCCCUGGGCUCUGCCACAAUCAUUCCUGUUGCUCCUGGGUGCACACUUUUGGCUUCCAUGGGGAAAAUGCAGAACUCCUGGGUCUGUCAGUAAGCCAGAAAACAAGUGCAAGAGGGGAAGAAUGGCACUGCUGUCUUUUUGACAUGUUAUCAGAAAAAAAAAAACCUGUUCCCUGGUCCCUUUCUGCACCCCUGUUAUCCAUGGGCACUGGGUGGCAUUAAUGUGGGCAAGGGGAGCACAUCUGGGCUCCCUCUAACUGGGUCCCUCCCUCUAGGUGUGUGUGAAGAAGGUUUAAUUUAACAAGAAUUAGGGUGUGUUCAGGUAAAGCAAUUAUUGUAAACAGACUUUCUUUCUAAAGGGUCAGAAUUGCUGCACUGGUAAGAGGCAAAGGGACAAAACUGGUCAAAUACCCCGGACAGACCCAUCCAAUGUUUUCUGAGAGUUUGUUAUUGUUUUGAAGCAACUCCUGGCAGAAGAGCUCCCAAAACCUCAGGCUGGGGGUCUUUGGUGGUGCAGGAGAAGCUCUGAGCCCCCAGGGUGCCACAGCCAGGGAAUGUCCAACUCCUCAUGGAAAUGAGCUGGGAAUAACCCGGGGCUCGAGCCCUUCCUCCCCCAGAGCUGGGCAGGAGUCCCUGUGCUGGGGGACCUGGUGGGACCCCCGUUCCCUCCCUGCCCCAGAGCCAUCCCACUGCCAUCCCUGAGCACAGGAACAUUGCACGGGCAGAAAUGUGGAAGCAAUUACUUUAAGAGCCGUCUUUUGGGCAAUUCCCAAAGAGACAUCAGACCCUGUAUUUAUGAAGCCUAUUGCAUCGGGCCCUAAUGAAGCAAUUAAGCAAAGGGUCCUCUGUGUUUGAUCUAAAUGUGGUAAUUUUUACAAAAACAUCGCCGAGUGAUAGAUACCCAUAACUCAGAGUCCUUAAUUGUACUUAAUUUGUUUGGAAUACGAAUGUGCAUUUAAUUAAGCCGGGGCUUUGCCCACAUGUUUAAAGAAGGGCUGUCAAGGAAAAUUAAGGCCCAGUUUGUUUUCAAAGUUACUGGUUUUUAUCAGGCCAGGACAGCGAUCUUCGAACAGAAGGUUACAGAUAAUUAGGCAGAGACCUCAAGCCAAAAAAAAAAAAAAAAAAUAAAAUCCAGAGACACUGUACAGCUGAGAAAGCAGGAAGGGAAACCCCUUGAUGAAGAAACAUAAGAAUGGGCUGUUCACGUAAGGAAAGUCAUGCAUGGCUGGGAUUUGGUAAAUGGGACCCGUUGGCUCGAAUGUGGUUUGUGUUCUUGAACUCCAGCACUGGGGCCAGAGCCCGGUGGGGUCUGAGGGCAGAGGCAGCUGGUUCCAGGUCCAGGGCACACGGGGAGCCCGUGGCAGCACCGUGGGAUGGGGAGGACACAAAGCAUUCUGGCUGUUCAGUGCAUUUCCAAACAUAAAGACUGGCUGUGAGAGCUGGUUUUUAAACAUCUCUCCCCCAAGCACGGAAAUACAGGAGGUGCUUGUCAUCCCCUUGGGAAGAAUGUUAGUCUGGGCCAUGGAAAGGGAGUUUAUUCCUUGAUGAUGCUGAGCACCUGUGGAUUUAAAUCCGUUUUUUUGUUCUUUAGUGAAAAAUUAAAGAACGCAGUUAAAAAUUAAUAAUGCUUCAGCACGUGAAGAAAAGGUGAUUUUUGAUAUUGAAAAAUUGGUUUCUCAGUACAACAGCAAACAGAGUCCAUGUGUAACCUCUGCUUUGGGGCUCCUCAAGAGUCACCCCCGGGCUGUCAGCUCCUCAACACGGGCGUUUUUAAUGCCAGGGUGAGACAUUUGUGUCAGGAGAUCCCUCUGGAGGAAAACAGUCGUCGUGGUGUUACCUUGAAGUUUGAGCAGGCACAGAGAGAGGGGCUUGUCUUCAGAAAGGGGGUACAUCUGAAGCAGAGCUGAAAACUGAGCUCAGAUUCCCCACACUGAGGGAAUGGAGGGUCUGACGGGGGAAAAAUCGUGUUUUCUGGAGGGUUUUGAUGGGCCACUGUGCUGAUGACAAGGGCAGGGGCCUUUAAUUGUGGAUCACGAAACGUGUGGAGAAUCAGGAGAUUCUGAAACAAAAAUUGGAACUUCUUCAUAGUAUUAUCUCCUGAUUCUGGAGAAUUAACCAAGUCACUGCUAAAUGAAGCUGGUGGCUCACUGUGGGAUGGUACCUGCCCUUCUCCUCUUGGGUGGCUCAGUUGAAAAGCUGCCAAAACACCCAGAACAGCUUCAGCCCUAAUUUAGUACAAAAUUAGUCGACUUAAAACAAACAGAAUAAAAUCAAAUAAAUCCUAUGGCAUUACAGAACUCCCUUGGCUGGAUCACCGUGUGCCUCACAAAGAUUUAUGGCACCUGUCACUGGAACAGGAGGAAUGUCCAGCUCAGAUGUAGCAGGGUCCUGCUGGCUCCUGACAUGACAGGCAUGUGAGAGUCUGGAGAUCCCAAAAUCAGAUGCUAAAGGGGAAAAAUGCUGUGGGAGAGCAGGAGGGUGCUGAGGGGUAGCAGGGAGGCAAAACAAAGGCAGGGAGGUGGUGAACUGUGGCAGUCCUGGGUGCCCUCAGCACCCCAAAGCCCUGAGGAGGAGGAAGAGGAAGAGGAGGAGGAGGAGGUCACUCGUGUUUGAUGUAUCUGCUGAGCACAUUGAGCCAGUUUGCAAAGGCAGGCCCAGAACACAAUUCUUCCCGUGGUAAAUGAGUGUGUCAGCUGCUUCACCCUCUUACGGGUGUUUAAAAUUUUUGCAGCAAUAACAGAGAAUUUGAAAGGACAUCAGAGGUGGAUUUACGGGACUCCUGGGAAAUCAACUGUUUCCUGUUUCAACAGCUUCUUCAUCAUAACUUGCUUUCUCAGUCUCUGAAUGAUGUUCUAUUAAUCUUGGUGUGCAGUGAUUACUGCUAAAUGCAGAGCUGGGCUGAACCUCUAUUUGUGAAAUAACCUUUUUUUGUCUCUUCAGCGAGUCCAACGUGGUAAACUUUGGGCAGAGGUCUACUGACCAAGUGGGUAAUUGUGUUCCAAUGCAUCCUGUGAAUAAUGCAGAUAAAAAACCUCCAGUGAAUAAUUCAUUUUGCCUCCACUCAUUUUGAAUUAGCCUAUUCAUGUAUGUAUCCUUUCCAGCCUGCCUGUCUCCUGUGUGUGUGCAUGGAUUUACAUAGCAAUGUUGUAAUUCACAGGUACUUAAAUAUCAAAGCAAUGGAGCUGCUACUCCCUGCAUGUGUUCCUGACUAUUCUGGGGGAUUGCAUAUGUAUAAGUAAGCAUUAUGUGCUGUACCAUAAAAUUCAGGGUUUGAUUUGCAGAUGAAACAUGACACACUAUUUGCUGCUGUGAUGGCUAUCUAGGAUUAAUAUUAAAAAACUUGCAAAUGAGGGCAGAUCAUUUUGGCCUGGCUAUAAAUUAAAGAACAAGUAUUUUGGGUUAUUCAGUGCUCAGGUGCCAGUUUUCUGCGAGGAUGUGUGUUGCCAAAAAUCAGAUUACACUCACAACUUUCCUUUUACCUUGGCAGUGACUUCUGGAUCCUCAGUCAAGCCAAGCCUGUGGGCAGGAGGAAGGACUUGCCUUUAGGGAUGGUGUUCCCUGAGGAGUGUGGACAGCUCUGGAGGUGCCUGAGCAUCACUGAUAACCUGCCUGCAGCUCAGGAGAGGGUGUGGCAUCUCCUUCACUGGAGGCAUUCCAGAACAGUCUGGACACAGCCCUGUGCCACGUGCUCUGGGGUGACCCUGCUUGGGCAGGGAGGUGGGACCUUCCAACCUGACCCCCCCUGGGUUCUGUGAACAUUUGCAGCAGGUUCAUGUGAGCAGCAGAGGGAAGGAAGGAGCCUGUUCUCUGCUUGGGUCGGGUUUGUCCGAGGAGUUCUGAGGAGCCCCAGAGUUUGUGUGGACAUCUCGACUGCUCAUGGCUCUGCCCUGGCUCUGGAACAGAUCCAAGCAGUAUUUCUGUCUGUCUUUGGAAAUACCUUGAUUUUGUGCAGUCAGGGCAGACAGUGCAGUUAUUCUCCUCCUCCUUGGAAGGCUCUGCUGUGGACUCUGUGUGGCCUUCAGUGAAAUGGUGGCAGGAUGGUGCUGAGAACAGGCCGUGGGAGCUGCUCCUGUGGGGAAAUCCAGACAGGUGAGGAAGGCACAGAGGGAGGAAGGAAGGAAGGAAGGCAUUGCCUGCAGAUUUGCU